rnacentral:rRNA from 1 species
AGCGAACGCUGGCGGCAGGCCUAACACAUGCAAGUCGAACGGAUCCUUCGGGAUUAGUGGCGGACGGGUGAGUAACACGUGGGAACGUGCCCUUUGGUUCGGAACAACUCAGGGAAACUUGAGCUAAUACCGGAUGUGCCCUUCGGGGGAAAGAUUUAUCGCCAUUGGAGCGGCCCGCGUCUGAUUAGCUAGUUGGUGAGGUAAAGGCUCACCAAGGCGACGAUCAGUAGCUGGUCUGAGAGGAUGAUCAGCCACAUUGGGACUGAGACACGGCCCAAACUCCUACGGGAGGCAGCAGUGGGGAAUCUUGCGCAAUGGGCGAAAGCCUGACGCAGCCAUGCCGCGUGAAUGAUGAAGGUCUUAGGAUUGUAAAAUUCUUUCACCGGGGACGAUAAUGACGNACCCGGAGAAGAG